GGACCCGCACAAGCGGUGGAUGAUGUGGAUUAAUUCGAUGCAACGCGAAAAACCUUACCUAUACUUGACAUACUUGGAAUGCUUUGUAAUGAAGCAGUGCCUUCGGGAGCCAGGAUACAGGUGCUGCAUGGCUGUCGUCAGCUCGUGUCGUGAGAUGUUCCGUUAAGUCGGAUAACGAGCGCAACCCUUACCCUUAUUUGCCAGCGAUUCGGUCGGGAACUAUAAGGGGACUGCCGGUGAUAAACCGGAGGAAGGUGAGGACGACGUCAAGUCAUCAUGGCCCUUACGAGUAGGGCUACACACGUGCUACAAUGGGGAAUACAGACGGACGCUAAGCCGCGAGGUGGUGCU
rnacentral:rRNA from 1 species